ACGCUCGACACCUACGGGAGGCAGCAGUGGGGAAUAUUGCACAAUGGGGGAAACCCUGAUGCAGCGACGCCGCGUGAGCGAAGAAGUAUUUCGGUAUGUAAAGCUCUAUCAGCAGGGAAGAAAUUGACGGUACCUGACUAAGAAGCACCGGCUAAAUACGUGCUAGCAGCCGCGGUAAUCUGAGCGGGCUGGCAAGGC
rnacentral:rRNA from 1 species